GUCAGUGUGGCCGAGUGGUUAAGGCGAUUGAGUAUGUUUCUCUCCACCUCGUAAUCGUCAACGAUUCAAAUACUAACAAUCCUCAAAGCUAGAAAUCAAUUCCGUUCGCGGGCAGAGGUUCGAAUCCUCUCGCUGACG